rnacentral:rRNA from 1 species
GACGAAGGGGGCUAGCGUUGUUCGGAAUUACUGGGCGUAAAGCGAGUGUAGGUGGUUGUCGUAGUCAGGUGUGAAAGCCUUGAGCUCAACUCAAGAAAUGCACUUGAUACUGGGCAGCUAGAGGACCGGAGAGGAUAGUGGAAUUCCCAGUGUAGUGGUGAAAUACGUAGAGAUUGGGAAGAACACCAGUGGCGAAGGCGGCUAUCUGGACGGUUUCUGACACUAAGACUCGAAAGCGUGGGGAGCAACAGG